rnacentral:misc_RNA from 1 species
GAUGAAGAACGUAGUGAAAUGCGAUAAGUAAUGUGAAUUGCAGAAUUCAGUGAAUCAUCGAAUCUUUGAACGCACAUUGCGCCCCCUGGUAUUCCGGGGGGCAUGCCUGUUCGAGCGUCAUUUCACCACUCAAGCCUCGCUUGGUAUUGGGCAACGCGGUCCGCCGCGUGCCUCAAAUCGACCGGCUGGGUCUUCUGUCCCCUAAGCGUUGUGGAAACUAUUCGCUAAAGGGUGUUCGGGAGGCUACGCCGUAAAACAACCCCAUUUCUAAGGUUGACCUCGGAUCAGGCAGGGAUACCCGCUGAACUUAAGCAUAUCAAUAAGCGGAGGA